rnacentral:rRNA from 1 species
AUGGAGGAACCAACGACGGGAACAACGGCGAUGAUGGUGCCAUGGUUGCUGCUUCUCUGCAUCACUGCUGCUGCCACCAGCGGGGCACUGCAAGCUCAUGCCCAGCUCGACAGCAAUGCUGCAGGUUUUAUAAGCAUAGACUGCGGUCUUCCAGGGCAAACAAGCUACGUGGAUAACACCACCAAGCUAUCCUACACCACGGACGCCGGCUUCAUCGACACCGAUGCCGGCGUAAACCACAACAUUUCCGCUGAAUACAUUACUCCCUCGAUGGCCAAGAGCUGGCACAGCGUGCGCAGCUUCCCCAGUGGCAGGCGAAACUGCUACAAUCUCAGCUCACUUGUGUCCGGAAGCAAGUACCUUAUCCGCGGCAAGUUCUUGUACGCCAACUACGAUGGCCUCAACAGGCUGCCCAUCUUCGACCUCUACAUUGGCGUUAACUUGUGGACAACGGUGAAGAUCUCAGAAGCCGACGCAGCGGUAUUUACAGAGGCCAUCAUGCUCGUGCCGGAUGAUUUCUUGGAGGUUUGCUUGAUAAACACUGGCGGCGGGACGCCCUUCAUCUCAGGCCUGGAUCUGAGGGCGCUGAAGAAAAUGCUGUACCCAUUGGCCAACGAGACACAGGCCCUGGUCCUGCUACACAGGUUCAACUUCGGACCCACUGAUAGCCACACCAUUAUCAGGUACCCUGAUGAUCCGCACGACCGGAUAUGGUUUCCUUUUGUCGACGUGGAAAACUGGGUGGAAAUAACAGCGGAGAAGGAGGUAAACAUUGAUGACGAGUUCUUCGAGCCGCCCCAAGAAGUGAUGCAGACGGCCAUCACGCCGCGGGACGUCUCGGAGAACAUAGAGUUCACCUUGGACAUCCAGAGUUUCCCCAGGGACCAUUCGCUGGGGUACGUCCAUACGGUGUACUUCUGUGAACUUCAAGAAUACCCCAGCAGUAAUGCACUACGGCAGUUCUACAUCUACCGGAAUGGCGUGCUAACGAACCUUCAUUUCUACAAGCCGCCAUACCUUGCCAGCGGUUUUGUGAACUCAGUUAAGCCCUUUCAAGCCAGCCAGUACAAGAUCUCCCUCGACGCCACUGCUAAAUCGACGCUGCCGCCCAUCAUAAAUGCCAUCGAGCUAUUCUCCGUCAUCUCAACCACCACCGUGGGCACCAACUCACAGGACGUAUUUGCCAUAAGAGCCGUCAAGAAGAUGUAUCAGGUGCAGAAGAACUGGACGGGUGAUCCGUGCCUUCCCAAGGCACUGAGCUGGGCGGGCUUGACCUGCAGCUAUAACGGUUCCAGACCUCCAACAAUUAUAAUAGUAAACAUGUCCUUCUAUGAUCUCCAUGGUGGUAUAUCUCCUGACUUCACAGCUCUCAAGAACCUUCAAUCCAUGGAUCUGUCAAACAAUAACUUGACAGGAUCAAUUCCAGACGCCCUUUCGCAGUUGGAGUCAUUAAAAAAUUUAGAUCUCUCGAACAACAAACUGAAUGGACCAAUUCCUUCAGGACUUCUCAAGAAAGUUCAAGAUGGCUCCUUGGAUCUGAAAUAUGACAACAAUCCGGAUAUUUGUACUAAUGGCACCUCAUGUCAGCCUGAAGGGGGCAGUAAAGUAGCCAUCUACAUAGUUGUUCCUGUAGUUGUGAUUGUGGUGUUACUACUAGUGGUAAUGCUAUACUUUUGCUUGCAAAGGAAAAGAAAGCAAGGAUCAAUUAAAAACUCAGUAAAGCUAAAAAAUGAUGGUGAUGGGACUUCUCAAGAAAGUUCACUUGGACUUGAGAGCCAUCGGUUCACGUACAGGGAACUGGAGACGAUAACGAACAACUUCCAGCGAGUGCUUGGUCGAGGAGGAUUUGGGCGUGUCUUCCACGGCUCCCUGGAAGAUGGCACUCAGGUAGCAGUAAAGCUGAGGUCUCAUUCUUCAAACCAGGGUGUCAGACAGUUCCUUGCAGAGGCUCAAGUUUUAUCACGUAUUCAUCACAAGAAUCUUGUGUCCAUGAUUGGUUACUGCAAGGAUGGGGAGCACAUGGCACUUGUCUAUGAGUACAUGCCUCAAGGAACCCUACAAGAGCACAUUGCAGGAAAAGACAACAUCAGACGAGCUUUACCCUGGAGACGAAGACUCCGAGUCGCACUUGAAUCUGCCCAAGGGCUAGAGUACCUACAUGAGGGCUGCAACCCACCUCUAAUUCAUAUGGAUGUCAAAACUGCCAACAUCUUGUUAAACGAGAGACUAGAGGCCAAGAUUGCCGACUUUGGAUUGUCCAAGGCUUUCAAUUGCCACGAUGACACCCAUGUAUCCACCAACACGCUUGCCGGCACACGCGGAUAUGUAGAUCCAGAGUAUCAUAGAACAUGUCAGGCGUCAACCAAGAAUGAUGUGUACAGUUUUGGUGUUGUGCUGCUAGAGCUAGUCACGGGGAAGCCAGCCAUCCUGCCCGACACCGAGGCCAUCAGCAUCAUCAAUUGGGCACGACAGCGGCUUGCGCGGGGUGACAUUGAGGGCGUGGUGGACACGCGUAUGCAAGGUGAUCAUGACAUCAAUGCUGUUUGGAAAGCUACAGAGAUUGCGCUCAAGUGCACCGAGCAAGUGCCCCUACAGCGGCCCUCCAUGGCUGAAGUUGUGAUGCAGAUACAGGAGUGCCUUGAUCUCGAGGAGGACUGCACAGGACGUGAUGAUGAAUUCUACACCGGCAGUAGUAGUGUUGGCAUGGACCCAAACAUGGGUUACAACGCUAGCACUAACCGGUGCACUGAUCUGAGGCAGAACAACGCUACGCUUGAGAUAGAGUAUAAUCAUCGGAGAGGGCCACAAAUGGAUACUAGUCCUAUGGCGACACGAUGA